UUAGUAGUAGUUUACAAUAAAACAUAUGGAUUUGAACCAUAAGAUAUAAUUAAUAUUUUCUUCUAAA